CAGGUGUAGUUUAAUGGUAGAGCAUCAGCCUUCCAAGCUGAUUACGCGGGUUCGAUUCCCGUCACCUG
rnacentral:tRNA from 3 species